rnacentral:rRNA from 1 species
GUAGGGUGCGAGCGUUAAUCGGAAUUACUGGGCGUAAAGCGUGCGCAGGCGGUUCGUUGUGUCGGCGGUGAAAGCCCCGGGCUCAACCUGGGAAUGGCCGUUGAAACUGGCGAACUGGAGUGUGGCAGAGGGGGGUGGAAUUCCGCGUGUAGCAGUGAAAUGCGUAGAGAUGCGGAGGAACACCGAUGGCGAAGGCAGCCCCCUGGGCUGACACUGACGCUCAGGCACGAAAGCGUGGGGAGCAAACAGGAUUAGAUACCCUGGUAGUCCACGCCCUAAACGAUGUCGACUGGAUGUUGGGGAAGCGAUUUCCCAGUACCGUAGCUAACGCGUGAAGUCGACCGCCUGGGGAGUACGGCCGCAAGGUUA